CAGGUGCUGUGGCUCAGGUGCCAUGGUUCAGGUGACAUAGCUCGGGUGCCAUGGUUCAGGUGACAGAGCUCAGGUCCCAUGGCUUGGGUGAUGUGUUUCAGGUGCCAUGGCUCAGGUGCCGUGGCUCAGGUUCCAUGGUUCAGGUGACAUAGCUUGGGUGCCAUGGUUCAGGUCACAUAGCUCAGGUGCCGUGGUUCAGGUGACAUGUUUCAGGUGCCAUAGCUCGGGUGCCAUGGCUCAGGUGCCAUAGCUCGGGUGCCAUGGCUCAGGUGCCAUAGCUCGGGUGCCAUGGUUCAGGUGACAUGUUUCGGGUGCCAUGGCUCAGGUGACGUGUUUCAGGUGCCAUGUUUCAGGUGCCAUGUUUCAGGUGCCAUAGCUCGGGUGCCAUGGCUCAGGUGCCGUGUUUCAGGUGCCAUAGCUCGGGUGCCAUGGUUCAGGUGACGUGUUUCAGGUGCUGUGGUUCAGGUGCCAUAGCUCGGGUGCCAUAGCUCGGGUGCCAUGGUUCAGGUGCCAUAGCUUGGGUGCCAUGGUUCAGGUGACAUGUUUCAGGUGCCGUGGCUCGGGUGGGCAGGUGGCAGCGAGGGCGAGGGUGG